rnacentral:lncRNA from 1 species
GGGGGGGGGGGGGGGGGGGGGGGGGGGGGGGGGGGGGGGGGGGGGGGGGGGGGGGGGGCCGUGAGGGGAUGCGGGAUGGGCAGUGCCGGGACUGUGCGGGUUUGGGCAGUGCCCGGACUGUGCGGGUUUGGGCAGUGCUCGGGGCCGUGCGGGUUUGGGCAGUGCCGGGACUGUGCGGACGGAGAUGGCCCGGUGGCGGUAGCGCGCUCGGGCCGCUCGGUGUCACAGAAAGUUUGAGCCCCGGGCCGGUGCGUGGCUCUCUCCCUGUUUCUGCUCCCCGCUUUCCCGGCUGGAAGCUUUGUCCUCCCUCGGCACCCCCGCUGUCCCUGCCCCGCACGGAAUGACAAAGGGAGCAUCCUGCUUCCCCAGGCUCCCACACCCUCCGUGCCGGAGCGAGGGGAUGAUCCCGAGCUGCCACGGGUAGCAAGGAUCGCCUGAACCUCAGACCCUGACACGAGGUAAAGUGAUAAACAUCAGAAACUACAAUUCACGUCCAGCGUUUUAAUGCCUGAAUGCUGAAUCUUCUCAUGAGGUCACAGCCACUACGGAACAACCCCAGUAACCCCUGUUUUCCGAGCUUCAUCUAUGUGUCACAGUUAACCCUGCUUUUCAGGAAGAUGGCACCAACAGGCAUUAGAAAUUCAAACAACCUUGAGUCAUUGUAUCCUACAAGGCAACUUUUCAAAAGGUAAGAAUAACCCCUCUCACAUUCAAUCCAUAAUUAAGAGCAAAAAAAAAUUAAAAAUCAAUGCCAUGGAAACAAACCUAAAAUUGCCUUGGAGGAUUUGGAGUUUUAAUUCAGUCCUAGCUGUACAUAAAGUCUUUUAUGGUUUGUAUGUUCAGACCCAGGAUCCUGCUACAAACCUGGAGAAGAGACAGGCACAUAACUCAUAGUCAAACCCUAAAAUCCUGUGGUCACUCCAUCAUCCACACUCAGGUUCAUUAUAAGAGGGUGAAAAUGUGAAUGAUUUGUGUGACACAAAGCUAGAAAUACCUCACAAAUUGCUGAAAAUCAGCUUUUGGCAGGCGCUGAGGGGAAGCUGGUUUGGGGGUUCUACAGGGGUGUUUUGACACAGAUAAACAGAAGGUUUGUUUGCAAAGCUAACAACUGAGAUUUUUCUUCUCGAUAAAUAAAAGCACUUUUUAUUAAACAAACAAACACCACCCCAACUUGGCAGAGUAGUUUACCAAAAAGGGAAACCACAUGGCCUUAACUUACAGGAGCAGAAAUAUUUGUGCAAACAGGAAAGUACCUGCUGCUUAUUCUGAAGCAGUCUAGGAUAAAGAUACUCCCGUUGUCCUUCAUUACCACUGCUCCCACUGAAGUCAGGCUGGUGCAUUACACAGAAGCAGCAAGAUCUAUUUUAAUUAUAAACCAGUUUGGAAAAAGCUGGAUUUAAAGGCUUUUGGCAAAUGGCUGUUACAGAUGAUCCCAAUAAAAAAAAAAAUCUUAGGAUCUUAAAAAAGAAUGCAAGAAUUUGAAGCAGCUCCUUGCUGAAGGACAAGGCAAGCAUUUUUGCCACCACUUCCCCUAAGAAAGGAGCAGAAUUAAGUCCCCAAAAAGCAGGAGGGAGGGAGAAAGCCACAAGUUCUCUUAGGGUGACAGAUGGCUGCAGGGCACCUGACACCUGUGAGUGUGUGGUCCUGAGGAGGACAGCACAGCAGGAGAAUAAAGAUAUCCAAAAAAAUGCAAGGAAAAAAAAUCUCUGUGUGGGAAAUAACAUGAGAGCUAAAAUGUCACAUGUGCCAAGAGCCCCCUGCCCUGUGCAGGAGGAUUAACUCCUAAAAGCUCCCGAGCUUUCUGUUGCUGCUGCUGCUGUUCUUUUAUUCUGGGGAGAGGCAAGCAGCAAACUUUGAAGCUGUGCUGGCUACAAGGAUCCCAUCACCUGGGACUGUCCCCAGCCCAGCUGGCCCUGCUGCUGGCCUCGGGGGCUGCACUGCUGGCCACUGCUUCCCUUUGCAGAACUAAGGGAACCAGCCUGAGGAAAAGCUGAUCCCUCUUUCUGAACUGGUUUGCAGCAUUCUGUGUUCCACAGGCCCCUUUUGCCGUGCUGCUCUCAGCAGCAGAAACAACUUCCCCUUCAUUUCUUUCACUUGGGAGAAAUUAUUUCAGUUUUGUUCAGUGGUACUCCAGUCACUUCUGGCCUGAGGAGACCAAACAAACCCCAGAGUAUUCACCCCAAGCAUCCCAUUCCCUUCAGCAGGUUCUGAACAAGGCUCAGCUCUCCGGGGCUGCCAAGGAGCCAAGAGCCACCUGUGUCAGCAGAGCUGCAGAAUUAUCCACUAACACCCCCACUAUUACAUCCCUCUGUACCUCCUGUGCAGUGACAAGGGAGAGCAGAAUGCUUCAGGUAACAACAAACGUCAAAGCCCACUGAAUCAGACAAUCAGAAUCAGCAAGGUUGGGAAAGACCUUUGAGGUCAUCCAGUCCAAACAUGAAGCCAGCCCCACCACCCUGUUCAGCACUAACCCCAGAGCCUCAGCCAGGUGUUUUUAGAGCCCUUCCAGGGGUGUGACUCCACCCUGCUGUGGGCAGCCUGUGCACCACCCUGUUCAGCACUUACCCCAGAGCCUCAGCCAGGUGUUUUUAGAGCCCUUCCAGGGGUGUGACUCCACCCUGCUGUGGGCAGCCUGUGCCAGGCCCUGACCACCCUCAACUUUCCUAAUAUCUGAUUUAACUUCCCCUGGCACGAACUGAGGCUCUUUCCUGUCACCCUGCCCUGAUGAUGGACACCAACAGGACGUGGCUGUAGGACACCAGGAAAAGUUAUGCUUUGUAGCUUCUCCACCCAUAUUUCCUUUGAGCUUUGCACCCCUGGAACACUGAACUAAAUUUCAACAGCAAAUACAAAAUGGUUGCUUGAAAAGGUCUGCCAAGACUCCACUCUCUAAAUCAGGGCUCAACCAAGGCAUAGCUCAGCCUCCACUGAAGAGUUUGGAGGGUUUUUUCUUCUAUUUUUAUCUUUUUUUUUUUUUUCAUUUUCAUUACAUUCCUACCAAGAAAAAAAUAGCUUGAAAUUUUGUUACUAAAUAGAGAAGAAGAACUAAAGGAUAUGUGUCAGUAUCAGGCAGAGGAGAUCAGUUUGCACGUCUAAUAGAAAAAUUCUAUUUUUGCCCAUUCCAGUGGAGUUCUGUGAACAGCACACACAUACUUUUCAAGUGCUAGCCAAAAUAAUCACUUCUCUCCUUCUGUGGGGGAAAAAAAAGUCCACUAAAUCAUGAAUAUUCAAUGGAUUGGUUAAUGACAUAGUAAUGCUUUAGCUGAAAUCUUUGCUCCUUAAAAUACAGCCAACACGAGCUGCCAGUUAGAAGAAGAAUUAAAAAUAGAGAAAUAACUUGAUUUGCAGGAGCUAUCACCCCCCAGUCGCUGCAGGAGUGUGUGAUGGUAGCAUGAUACCAUGACAGAUCUGGGGCAGACUGUCUUCACAAUCUGGGAGACGUAAAACAGGCAGGAAAAAAUAGUUUCUGUUACUCACUGGAGCUUCUGCCAGUGCUGGGGGCUCUCCAGGGCGAGGGUGCCUCCCCUCAGCACCAGCUCUGCCCUUGCCCAGAUGACCCCAGGGUGCACCCAGUUACUUUUCCAGCCUUGUAGCACCAGCUCAAAGAAAAAAAAAAAAAAAAAAAAGGGGGGGGGGGGGGGGGGGGGGGGGGGGGGGGGGGGGGGGGGGGGGGGGGGGGGGGGGGGGGGGGGGGGGGGGGGGGGGGGGGGGGGGGGGGGGGGG